CUGCUAUUUCUGUUGGAUUCCGGGGUUGUUGGGGUUUUGUUUCUGGGUUCUGGUUAGGCUAGUCACUAACUUUCCACCAGAGAGCGCCAGAGACUGUUUUUCCCGGCGGAGGCGUGAUCGCCAGCACACCUGUUCAACAUCUCCUCAUUAUGUCUGGAGUUCAAGAGGAGCUGACUGACGGGGCUUCGACGCCUGAGUGUUUGCCAGCAAUGGUGUCUUCCUUGAGACGCUGAGUUCCUUUGUGAAAGGAACUGGUUCUUCCGGGUUUUUCUGGAACCAAUUCCCUCGUGACGCCGUGGAGGAAUAUCCGCUGGUUGCCCAAGCCCGUGUCUUCCCUUUGAGACGCCGAACGUCAGUCAGAACUCUCCUCAGUCUCCAGCCCGCCUGAGCCCAUCGGUCCGCCUCUCCCCGCCGCCACUGUUGCUCCUGGAUCCAACCAAUCCCGAAUAGCUCGGACCCGUUCAGAAGACCUCUUGGACUGAAUCCCCUCGAUCCACACAGUUAGCCCUCCCGGACUUCCACCAUCAACUUCACAAUUUGCCGCAUUCCCCGAAAGCUGCAGUUCCUGGAGCAAUAACCCUCAGCAGAUUUCCUGAACAUUCAAUA